rnacentral:lncRNA from 1 species
CAAAAUCGAAAAGGAUAAAACAAAGUAGGAUCAAAGAAACAAAAAGGGACUCAAACUUAAACACCAGCAGCAUGAGGCCAAGCAAUGCCCCAUAAAUCACUCUGCAGUAUAUCCUGCAACAAAUGCACUCCUCCAGUGUAAUUCAAAGCCGAAUUAGCCAACCAGUCCGCACCCGAAUUGCCUUCUCUAUUUGUUAACCGGUUACAAACCGAUUAACUGGUGAUCACAAUUUAUUUUAUGUUUAAAUAAAAG